UACAGAGGUCUCAAGCGUUGUUCGGAUUCAUUGGGCGUAAAGGGUGCGUAGGUGGCGCCGUAAGUCAGGUGUGAAAUUUCGGAGCUUAACUCCGAAACUGCAUUUGAUACUGCGGUGCUUGAGGACUGGAGAGGAGACUGGAAUUCACGGUGUAGCAGUGAAAUGCGUAGAUAUCGAGAGGAACACCGGUGGCGAAGGCGGCCUUCUGGACAGUAACUGACGCUGAGACGCGAAAGCGUGGGGAGCAAACAGG
rnacentral:rRNA from 1 species